UAGGGAAUCUUCGGCAAUGAACGAAAGUCUGACCGAGCAACGCCGCGUGAGUGAAGAAGGUUUUCGAAUCGUAAAACUCUGUUGGUAGAGAAGAACGUUGGUGAGAGUGGAAAGCUCAUCAAGUGACGGUAACUACCCAGAAAGGGACGGCUAACUACGUGCCAA
rnacentral:rRNA from 1 species